UCAUGAGUCACCUUUACUAGUCUCCUAGUUGUGACCUUUCAGGAGAAUCAAGUUGACAAAUUUAAUCACCAGGGGUUGUGGUGGUGGCUCAGUGGGUAAAGUGUUUUCAAGUAACAAGAACUGAGAGCCUCAGAAGCAGUGUCAAAGUCUGGUGGGUGUGGUAGCCAGCCUACAAUCCUAGCAAGCUGGAGGAUUGGUAGGGAGUCCCUGGAGAAUGCUGGCUAGCUGGACUAGCCAACACAAGAAGCUCAGGGGUCAUCAAGAGACCCUGUCUCAAUAGAUGCACUGUGACCAGUUAACUGAAGGCUCCUGUCACCAUAACUCCCCUGGCCAUGGCAGACGAUCCACCUGAACUGAGAUCCAGAGUAGACAAUUCCUUCUUUAAAUGGUUUUUGCCACAGCAGUGAGGAAACUCGUAGAAUUCCUAAUCUCUUUCCUUACAUAUUUUGGUAAAAAGUCCACAGAUGCACGUGGAACAUCCAACGUAUCAGCUCAAAGGGGAAUAACUAAAUAUUACUAAGGAUUCAGAAGCAAACCAAGCAUUCCGCAGCUGGCAGAUGCACGGAGAACAGAAACUUGGAAGGCGUUGGACGGUGAGACCUUGAGAACAAAUUCCUAGAGAUGAAGAAACCCUGCCUGGAGAAUGUGAUAUGGAAACUCUGCCUCUGUUUCGACCUGCUGGCCUACUGCA
rnacentral:lncRNA from 1 species